CUUCACAUGCUCACACUCUUUGGCCUGCCGCCUUGUAAGAAGUAACUGCUUCCCCUUCUGCUAGGAUUGUAAGUUUCCUCCGUCCUCCACAGCCAUGUGGAAUGUGAGUCAAUUAAAUUUCUUUGCUUUAUAAAUUGCCCAACCUAAAAUAUUUCUCUAUAGCAGUGUGAAAAUGGAAUACUGCACUUCUGAUAUCACACUUGAGGAAUUGGGGAAUUCAUACUACCUGAGAUCAAAUAAUGGCCUCAGGCUGGGCAGUCAUGUGACCUUGGGGAGAUAACUUACCUUCUCCAUCUUAGUGUCUUCUCUAAAACUGGUGAGAUUGUUUCUGAGGGCUAAAGCAUAGCCCACUUGGAACACUGUCAGGCACAUACUGCUUGCUAGGGUUCAGUAUUCAUUUUUUUUUAACAUGUUCUAAUCCAAUCAAAGAAACUAAGAACCUUGCAGUAUUCAUUUUAUUGAGUUAGCACUGUGGUAACCCCCUUAUGGCUCUUGAUUUUGUGUAACAAAGUCAUGCUUAGUGCUUUGUUAGUAAAAGAGAGAAAAUCUAAAAGUCCCUGCCAUGGAAGGAAGAAGAACAGGAGAAAAGGAAGUUGGUAAGUUUCAGUACUUUAGAGCUUGGGGGGACAAGUUAGGUUUCUAUUAAUGGAGAAGGAGGUGGAGGCAGGAUGGAUUAUAAGGUGUCAUUCAAGACACCAUAAGUCUUUAGUGAGAGUAGAGCUAGGGCCCCAGGGAUUGCUGUGGACAAGUUGCAGACAAAAACUAUCACUCAUUGGAAGACAGGAGAGGAAUAUUUCAGGUGUAUCUACAUUGAGUCAACAAAUAAAAGUUCAACUUGGUUGCUAAUGGGACCCACUCUGCUAACUGCCACUUUGUAUAGAACUCCUAGAGGAAGAUGGCUUCCAGUAAUGAACCACCUGUUUUUAGGACUAAAAAGCUCAGGAAGCUGUCGGGUGAUAAAUGGAAAACUUAGUUCCACUGGCACUGAAGGAGGGGCCAGGAGAGCAGUGGCAUCAUAAGCCACAGGGUGGGGCAGCCGGGCAGUGGGGGAGGGGUGGCAGCCAGGGUGGGCAUUGUGAGGUGUGGGGUGGGGCAAUGUGAGUCACGUGCUGGGAUUCCACUGUGGCCAGUGGGCUUCAGUCUGUAGGUGACUGCAGAGGGAGGAGUACCUCCUUUUGAACUCUCUUCCAGCAGUUGUAUCACUUGGCGCUGUGUGGGUUCCCAACCUAUUAAAUAGCAGCUGUUUGUGACCCUCCCAGACAAGUCAACUUAGGAGAGGCGCGGGGGUGCGGGCCUUGGGCCGGCCCUAGCCGGGGCGUGGUGUGGGCAGGUGAGCAGCGGCAAGGCCAUCUCUGAAAGUGCGGCACAGCCUCGGCCUAGGGCAGCAGAGUGUCCUGACCAACACUGAGUGGAGGCACAGGUGGCGGCAGACAGGAGUAAGGUGCCCCAUGGGGAACAAACUGUGCUGCUGUGUGUGCCCAUUUCGGACGAUGAUGAGGUGUCAGGGUGUCCUCCAGAGUGUAAAAUCUGUGAAGCAACAGCUGAGGACGCGACAGCAGCAGCGCCCACGGCUGCUGCCAUAGAACCUACCGAGUUGACUGUUGAAGCUGGUGAGGACCUUCCUGUGCAUGACAUCUUGAUGGGGAGAUGCCCGAAGAUAGGGCUUUGGAGUCCGACUAUUCUGAUCAUCCAAAAAUAAAGAAAAUCUCAAGCAGUUGAUAGAGCUUUGGAGUCCGACCCUUCAGAUCAUCCAGAAGGAAAGAAAUAUCCAGCAGAUGAUAGAGCUUUGGAGUCCGACCCUUCUGAUCAUCCAGAGGGAAAGAAGUAUCCAGCAGAUGAUAGCGUUUUGGAGUCCGACCGUUCUGAUCAUUCAGAAACAAAGAAAUCUCAAGCAGUUGGUGAGCCAACAGUGUGUUUUCCACCAGGAAAAGAGUGAAAACUUUUGUUUUAUGAGGUGUAUUAUAGAAAGAGUUUAGCAGAACUCAUAUUGGUUUAAAUUUUUAAAAUAUUCACGUAUUCACUUGUGUUAUGUUAACAUGUGAUAUACUUUGCUUGUUAUCGUGUUAGUGAAAACGUCA